rnacentral:rRNA from 1 species
UACGUAGGGGGCAAGCGUUGUCCGGAAUCAUUGGGCGUAAAGCGCGUGUAGGCGGCUUGGUAAGUCCGUUCUGAAAGCCCGGGGGCUCAACCCCCGGGAGGCGGAUGGAUACUGCCAAGCUUGAGUCCGGAAGAGGCGAGUGGAAUUCCCGGUGUAGCGGUGAAAUGCGCAGAUAUCGGGAGGAACACCAAUGGCGAAGGCAGCUCGCUGGGACGUGACUGACGCUGAGACGCGAAAGCGUGGGGAGCAAACAGG